rnacentral:rRNA from 1 species
UACGUAGGGGGCAAGCGUUGUCCGGAUUUAUUGGGCGUAAAGAGCUCGUAGGUGGCCUGUCGCGUCGGCUGUGAAAACUCGGGGCUCAACUCCGAGCUUGCAGUCGAUACGGGCAGGCUAGAGUUCGGCAGGGGAGACUGGAAUUCCUGGUGUAGCGGUGAAAUGCGCAGAUAUCAGGGGGAACACCGGUGGCGAAGGCGGGUCUCUGGGCCGAUACUGACACUGAGGAGCGAAAGCGUGGGGAGCGAACAGG